GAUGAACGCUGGCGGCGUGCCUAAUACAUGCAAGUCGAGCGAACGGACGAGAAGCUUGCUUCUCUGAUGUUAGCGGCGGACGGGUGAGUAACACGUGGAUAACCUACCUAUAAGACUGAGAUAACUUCGGGAAACCGGAGCUAAUACCGGAUAAUAUUUUGAACCGCAUGGUUCAAAAGUAAAAGACGGUCUUGCUGUCACUUAUAGAUGGAUCCGCGCUGCAUUAGCUAGUUGGUAAGGUAACGGCUUACCAAGGCAACGAUGCAUAGCCGACCUGAGAGGGUGAUCGGCCACACUGGAACUGAGACACGGUCCAGACUCCUACGGGAGGCAGCAGUAGGGAAUCUUCCGCAAUGGGCGAAAGCCUGACGGAGCAACGCCGCGUGAGUGAUGAAGGUCUUCGGAUCGUAAAACUCUGUUAUUAGGGAAGAACAUAUGUGUAAGUAACUGUGCACAUCUUGACGGUACCUAAUCAGAAAGCCACGGCUAACUACGUG
rnacentral:rRNA from 1 species